UUGACCUCGAAUCANGUAGGAAUACCCGCUGAA
rnacentral:rRNA from 1 species